rnacentral:rRNA from 1 species
AUUGAACGCUGGCGGCAGGCUUAACACAUGCAAGUCGAGCGGGGGGAGGUAGCUUGCUACCUAACCUAGCGGCGGACGGGUGAGUAAUGCUUAGGAAUCUGCCUAUUAGUGGGGGACAACAUUUCGAAAGGGAUGCUAAUACCGCAUACGCCCUAAGGGGGAAAGCAGGGGAUCUUCGGACCUUGCGCUCAUAGACGAGCCUAAGUCGGAUUAGCUAGUUGGUGGGGUAAAGGCCUACCAAGGCGACGAUCUGUAGCGGGUCUGAGAGGAUGAUCCGCCACACUGGGACUGAGACACGGCCCAGACUCCUACGGGAGGCAGCAGUGGGGAAUAUUGGACAAUGGGGGGAACCCUGAUCCAGCCAUGCCGCGUGUGUGAAGAAGGCCUUUUGGUUGUAAAGCACUUUAAGCGAGGAGGAGGCUACUGGUAUUAAUACUACUGGAUAGUGGACGUUACUCGCAGAAUAAGCACCGGCUAACUCUGUGCCAGCCGCCGCCGUAAUAC